rnacentral:lncRNA from 1 species
GUCAACAAUUGAUUUGAUUAUCACUUAGGUGUAUUGGAUUGCAUCUAUUUCUCCGAAUUCAAAUAUAAUAUUUAAUUCUAAUAUAGUUAAUUUUGAUUAAAUUCUUAUUUGCAUUUAGAUUGGUUAUUUUCUUAGAUAUGUAAAUAUAUCUUAUAAAAAUAUGUAUAAUAUCAUAUAUAUUGUGCUUAAAAUUAUAUUAAAAAUAAACUGAAGUGUUGGAUUCAAAAUUACAUAAAUUGAUAUAACGAUAACAUUCUGAAGUCUUAUGCAUAUAUAUAAAACUAUAUUGUAACAAGUAGUUGAUAUUUUUUCUUAUUUAUUAAUAUGUUUUGAGUCAUCCUGUAAUUUAUAUGUAUAAAAAUAAAUAGAUUCUUAUUAUAAAAUUAUA